rnacentral:sRNA from 1 species
AGAGAAACAGAUUCCGACACUAUAUCUCGUGUAUUACGAUAUUUCUCCAUUCUCGACAGUUAAAUUUUAAGCCUCGCGCUUUAAAUAAUAAAAGUUAACUGUCUCGAGUGGAGAAAUAUCGUAAUACACUUGUUGAAGUGUAGGAAUCUAUAUGUCU